UGAGCAAUCUGCCCUUCUCUUCGGAAUAAGCGUGGGAAACCGCGUCUAAUGCCGAAUACGACCUCCUUUCGCAUGAUCGGAGGUGGAAAGCUCCGGCGGAGAAGGAUGAGCUCGCGGCCUAUCAGCUAGUUGGUGAGGUAAUGGCUCACCAAGGCGACGACGGGUAGCCGGCCUGAGAGGGUGACCGGCCACACUGGGACUGAGACACGGCCCAGACUCCUAUGGGAGG
rnacentral:rRNA from 1 species